rnacentral:rRNA from 1 species
CAAAAGCUAUUCGCCCGGGUACUACGAGCACUAGCUUAAAACCCAAAGGACUUGGCGGUGCUUAAGACCCCCCUAGAGGAGCCUGUUCUAGAACCGAUAACCCCCGUUCAACCUCACCUUCCCUAGCCAACCCCGUCUAUAUACCGCCGUCGUCAGCUUACCCCCUGAGGGACCCUCAGUAAGCAAAAUUGGCCAACCCCUAAACGUCAGGUCGAGGUGUAACGCAUGAGAAGGGUAGAAAUGGGCUACAUUCCUUAUAACGAAUAAUGUAAUGAAAUGUACAUUGGAAGGAGGAUUUAGCAGUAAACGGAAAGUAGAGUG